rnacentral:rRNA from 1 species
ACUGAACACUGGCGGCAGGCUUAACACAUGCAAGUCGAGCGGAGAUGAGGUGCUUGCACCUUAUCUUAGCGGCGGACGGGUGAGUAAUGCUUAGGAAUCUGCCUAUUAGUGGGGGACAACAUUCCGAAAGGAAUGCUAAUACCGCAUACGUCCUACGGGAGAAAGCAGGGGAUCUUCGGACCUUGCGCUAAUAGAUGAGCCUAGGUCGGAUUAGCUAGUUGGUGGGGUAAAGGCCUACCAAGGCGACGAUCUGUAGCGGGUCUGAGAGGAUGAUCCGCCACACUGGGACUGAGACACGGCCCAGACUCCUACGGGAGGCAGCAGUGGGGAAUAUUGGACAAUGGGGGGAACCCUGAUCCAGCCAUGCCGCGUGUGUGAAGAAGGCCUUAUGGUUGUAAAGCACUUUAAGCGAGGAGGAGGCUACUGAGACUAAUACUCUUGGAUAGUGGACGUUACUCGCAGAAUAAGCACCGGCUAACUCUGUGCCAGCCGCCGCAGUAAAAC